GACGAACGCUGGCGGCGUGCUUAACACAGGCAAGUCGAACGUAAAGGCCCUGCUCUUGUGGGUUGCUCUAGUGGCGAACGGGUGUGUAACACGCGAGUACCCUUCCCUUGACUUUGAGAUAACUUCAGGAAACUGGGGCUAAUCCCGCAUAGGAGAUCCUGCUCCAUGGUGGGGGUUGGAAAGUUUCGUCGGUUGGGGAUGGACUCGCGGCUUACCACCUUGCUGGUGGGGUAGUGGCUUACCAAGGCUGUUACGGGUAGCCGGCCUGAGAGGGUGAGCGGCCACAUUGGGAAUGAGAUACGGCCCAGACUACUACGGGAGGCAGCAGUGGGGAAUAUUGAACAAUGGGUGGAAGCGUGAUGCAGCAACGCCGCGUGCGGGAUGACGGCCUUCGGGUUGUAAACCGCUUUCGCGUGUGACGAAGCGUGAGUGACGGUAAUGAGUAACGAAGCACCGGCUAACUACGU
rnacentral:rRNA from 1 species